AUUGCACACGUCCGUAGUUUCCA
rnacentral:siRNA from 1 species